rnacentral:tRNA from 1 species
GCCCACCUAGCUCAAUGGUAGAGCGUUGGCUUUGAAAGCCACAGGUCGGUGGUUCAAUUCCACCCGGGCA